rnacentral:rRNA from 1 species
CCCAGACUCCUACGGGAGGCAGCAGUAGGGAAUCUUUCACAAUGGGCGAAAGCCUGAUGGAGCAACGCCGCGUGCAGGAUGAAGGCCUUCGGGUUGUAAACUGCUUUUAUAAGCGAGAAAUAUGAUGGUAACUUAUGAAUAAGGAUCGGCUAACUCCGUGCCAGCAGCCGCGGUAAUACGGAGGAUGCGAGCGUUAUCCGGAUUUAUUGGGUUUAAAGGGUGCGUAGGCGGGCUGUUAAGUCAGCGGUAAAAGCCGGGGGCUCACCCCCGGCGAGCCGUUGAAACUGGCGUUCUUGAGUGGGCGAGAAGUAUGCGGAAUGCGUGGUGUAGCGGUGAAAUGCAUAGAUAUCACGCAGAACUCCGAUUGCGAAGGCAGCAUACCGGCGCCCUACUGACGCUGAGGCACGAAAGCGUGGGUAUCGAACAGGAUUAGAUACCCUAGUA